rnacentral:misc_RNA from 1 species
AAGUCGUAACAAGGUUUCCGUAGGUGAACCUGCGGAAGGAUCAUUAAAGAAUAUCGAGCCUCACAGCUCUUAUUCUCACCCUUUGUAUACCGAACUUUGUUGCUUUGGCAGCGCCUUUGGGGCCUGCCAGAGGACCGAAACCCUAGAAUCUCUGCCGUCUGAGUAUUAUAUAAUAGUUAAAA